rnacentral:rRNA from 1 species
GUAGGGAAUCUUCCACAAUGGACGAAAGUCUGAUGGAGCAACGCCGCGUGAGUGAAGAAGGUCUUCGGAUCGUAAAACUCUGUUGUUAGAGAAGAACGUGCAUGAUAGUAACUGAUCAUGUAAUGACGGUAUCUAACCAGAAAGCCACGGCUAACUACGUGCCAGCAGCCGCGGUAAUACGUAGGUGGCAAGCGUUGUCCGGAUUUAUUGGGCGUAAAGGGAACGCAGGCGGUUUUUUAAGUCUGAUGUGAAAGCCUUCGGCUUAACCGAAGAAUAGCAUUGGAAACUGGAAGACUUGAGUGCAGAAGAGGUAAGCGGAAUUCCCGGUGUAGCGGUGAAAUGCGUAGAGAUCGGGAGGAACACCAGUGGCGAAGGCGGCUUACUGGACUGUAACUGACGCUGAGGCGCGAAAGCGUGGGGAGCGAACAGGAUUAGAAACCCGGGUAGUCC